rnacentral:tRNA from 1 species
UCCCUGAGGGUACAGAGGCUAAGACACUGUGUUCACAAUGCAGAGGCCUGGGUUCAAUCCCUAGUCAGGGAA